UACAGAGGCCUCAAGCGUUAGGCGGAAUCACUGGGCUUAAAGCGUGUGUAGGUGGAUGCCUAAGUACCUUGUGAAAUCCCACGGCUUAACCAUGGAAUUGCUUGGUAUACUGGGUGUCUUGAGCCACUCAGGGGCUACCGGAACAAACGGUGGAGCGGUGAAAUGCGUAGAUAUCGUUUGGAACGCCAAUGGUGAAAACAGGUAGCUGGGGGUGUGCUGACACUGAGACACGAAAGCCAGGG
rnacentral:rRNA from 1 species